rnacentral:lncRNA from 1 species
AGAAAAAAAAUGUUGAAUGCUAAAAAGUGGAAAUUAAAUUGCAGAGCGUCAAAUCAAACUAGGCCUCCUUAAUUUUUCCCAAUUGAGUCCUUUAUAUAGUGUCCAUUAGGUCUUGGUAGUUGAGGAAUUCAAGGAACACUUGGUCUUGAGAGAGGAAAUCAUGGGAAAAGUUUGUUGGAGGAAAUAUAGGCACUUUUGGGUGCCU